GUCGAGGGGCAGCGGGGUAGGAAGCUUGCUUUCUGCCGCCGGCGACCGGCGCACGGGUGAGUAACACGUAUGCAACCUGGCCGUGACAGAUGGAUAACCGGGAGAAAUCCCGCCUAAUACAACAUAAUGCCGGGAGGGGACAUCCCCUGCCGGCCAAAGGGGGCGACCCCGGUCACGGAUGGGCAUGCGGCGCAUUAGGUAGUUGGUGGGGCAACGGCCCACCAAGCCGACGAUGCGUAGGGGUUCUGAGAGGAAGGUCCCCCACAUUGGAACUGAGACACGGUCCAAACUCCUACGGGAGGCAGCAGUGAGGAAUAUUGGUCAAUGGCCGGAAGGCUGAACCAGCCAAGUCGCGUGAGGGAAUAAGGCCCUACGGGUCGUAAACCUCUUUUGCCAGGGAGCAAUGCCGUCCACGUGUGGACGGAAGGAGAGUACCUGGAGAAAAAGCAUCGGCUAACUCCGUGCCAGCAGCCGCGGUAAUACGGAGGAUGCGAGCGUUAUCCGGAUUUAUUGGGUUUAAAGGGUGCGUAGGCGGCCUGCCAAGUCAGCGGUAAAAUUGCGGGGCUCAACCCCGUACAGCCGUUGAAACUGCCGGGCUCGAGUGGGCGAGAAGUAUGCGGAAUGCGUGGUGUAGCGGUGAAAUGCAUAGAUAUCACGCAGAACCCCGAUUGCGAAGGCAGCAUACCGGCGCCCGACUGACGCUGAGGCACGAAAGUGCGGGGAUCAAACAGGAUUAGAUACCCUGGUAGUCCGCACAGUAAACGAUGAAUGCUAGCUGUCCGGGGGGAUUGACCCCUGGGUGGCACAGCGAAAGCGUUAAGCAUUCCACCUGGGGAGUAC
rnacentral:rRNA from 1 species